rnacentral:lncRNA from 1 species
GGCCUUUCUAGGAGCCAGCUUGCUUUCAUCUUACUGUUUUGAUUGUGCCUCACAAGGGACAACACUCCGAUUGUCUAGGAGGAGGAAGGUCAGGGACAGAAAAGUAAAAGCCAGGAGCAGCCUGUCCUGUCUGCCUGGGCUGCUGGGGAAUGAUUGUCAGUGAAUCGAGUUGUCUGUGGAGCCCCUGAGCAAAUUCUCCCAGUGGCAGCAGAUCUCGCAAAAGGGGAGGAAGGCCUUCACCGCUGAACCCGAGCUUUGCCAUUUCGAAGUGCUGAGUCACCUCGUCCUCUCAGGGUCAGACACUUUCACGCAGGAAACGUCCUGCAGAGCACCGCAGCGGGAGCACCGAGCUGGUGUAUAGGUGUGAACCAAGUGCACGUCUAGUUCCCUUGGAGGCCAGAAAGAAGGCGGUGUCAGAUCCCCAGGAACCAUAGUUACAGAUGGUUGAUGUGGAAACUCAGAGAGGAUGCCACUGUUUUGAACUAUUUUGAAGGCACAGCCACCAGAGCUUUAGGGACAGGGUAUUUUAUCACAGCAACAGAAAUGAAACCAAAACAACUCCACAAUAAAAUUCUUGAGUUUCUUGGGGCCAAGAAGAUGACACGAUAAGAUAAAGACACUGGCCAAGCAUGACCUCCAGAGUUUGGCCCUUGCAUAAAGGAGAAAAUUAAUUCCUUCAGUUGUUCUCUGACCUCCACAUGCGUCCUGUAACAUGGGUGUAUGCAUACACAUAAACACACAUCCACACGUUGUUAAAUAAAUAAAAAAAAUAUGUUAACA